rnacentral:rRNA from 1 species
AACGAACGCUGGCGGCAUGCCUAACACAUGCAAGUCGAACGAUACCUUCGGGUCUAGUGGCGCACGGGUGCGUAACGCGUGGGAACCUGCCCUUAGGUUCGGAAUAACUCCCCGAAAGGGGUGCUAAUACCGGAUAAUGUCUUCGGACCAAAGAUUUAUCGCCUUUGGAUGGGCCCGCGUUGGAUUAGCUAGUUGGUAGGGUAAAAGCCUACCAAGGCGACGAUCCAUAGCUGGUCUGAGAGGAUGAUCAGCCACACUGGGACUGAGACACGGCCCAGACUCCUACGGGAGGCAGCAGUGGGGAAUAUUGGACAAUGGGCGAAAGCCUGAUCCAGCAAUGCCGCGUGAGUGAUGAAGGCCUUAGGGUUGUAAAGCUCUUGUACCCGGGAUGAUAAUGACAGUACCGGGAGAAUAAGCUCCGGCUAACUCCGUG